rnacentral:rRNA from 1 species
GAGUUUGAUCGUGGCUCAGAUUGAACGCUAGCGGGAUGCCUUACACAUGCAAGUCGAACGGCAGCACGGACUUCGGUCUGGUGGCGAGUGGCGAACGGGUGAGUAAUGUAUCGGAACGUGCCUAGUAGCGGGGGGAUAACUACGCGAAAGCGUAGCUAAUACCGCAUACGCCCUACGGGGAAAGCAGGGGAUCGCAAGACCUUGCACUAUUAGAGCGGCCGAUAUCGGAUUAGCUAGUUGUGGGGUAACGGCUCACCAAGGCGACGAUCCGUAGCUGGUUUGAGAGGACGACCAGCCACACUGGGACUGAGACACGGCCCAGACUCCUACGGGAGGCAGCAGUGGGGAAUUUUGGACAAUGGGGAAACCCUGAUCCAGCCAUCCCGCGUGUGCGAUGAAGGCCUCGG